rnacentral:lncRNA from 10 species
AUGAGGGUUUCAAUUUUUCCACAAAAUGAAUAACACUUGUCAUUGUCUGUCUUUUCUAUUUUAACUGUCCUAGAAUAAGCAUAAGGAACUAAACACCUAAGCCUAUCAUAGUAAAACUGCUGAAAACCCAAAUUGAAGAUACGAUCAAAAAGCAGCCAGAGGAAAAAAUUUCUAGAGCCUGGGAAGUUCAAGAUCAAGGAGCCGGCAUCUGGUGUUUGUCAAAGGCCUUAUUGUUGCCUCCUCCAGAGGUGAAGAAUGUUGUGUCUUUACAUGGCAGAAGGCAGAAGAUAGAAGAUCAGUCUGAGCAUGUAGUCUGUCAUGCUGCUUUCAAGAGGACAAGAAAAAUGUGGUUUAUAUGUUUUACUAUAUUUUGUGUGCACCAAAAAUAUUGUACUAUUUUUUUGGUGGUAGACAUAUUUUUAUUUUGUGGUAGUCAUGGUUGACAAUACGGUUGAUACAGAAGGACUAGAAACAAUAUAUCAAUAAUGAAAAACAAAUAAAUUCCAUUAUAAUUGCUAUUAUCAACUUUUUUUCUUCUCUCCUUGAAGAUCAGAUUACAAGAGUUAACUCUGAAUUCAUUCGGCAUUAUUCAUUGCUUCAUUUUUAUUUUUAUUUUUAUUAUACUUUAAGUUCUAGGGUACAUGUGCCCAACGUGCAGAAUUGUUACAUAUGUAUACAUGUGCCAUGUUGGUGUGCUGCACCCAUUAACUCGUCAUUUACAUUAGGUAUAUCUCCUAAUGCUAUCCCUCCCCCCUCCCCUCACCCUAUGACAGGCCCCUGUGUGUGAUGUUCCCUUUCCUGUGUCCUAGUGUUCUCAUUGUUGAAUUCCCACCUGUGAGUGAAAACAUGCGGUGUUUGGUUUUUUGUCCUUGUGAUAGUUUACUGAGAAUGAUGGUUUCCAGCUUCAUCCAUGUCCCUACAAAGGACAUGCACACGUGUGUUUAUUGCGGCACUAUUCACAAUAGCAAAGACUUGGAACCAACCCAAAUGCCCAUCAAUGAUAGACUGGAUUAAGAAAAUGUGGCACAUAUACACCAUGGAAUACUAUGCAGCCAUAAAAAGGAUGAGUUCAUUGCUUCAUUUUUAAAAAGAAAGCCUUCAAAGACAUCUUUACUUACCAGUGUACUUGAAGAAAUGUUAUCAAAACCUUCAGCGUUAUCUUUCUGCAGAGCUGAGAUAAAAUGGAACACACUUUGGCAAUUUCUAUAGAUUAUAGGGCUCAGUAUUUCAAAGUGUAUACACAAAGGUGUAUUGUGAUGAGUGAAUUAUCUCUAUCACCUGAUUAAAGAUUUGUCUGUCUUUGUGAUAAGGGGAGAAUCAACUUCUUUUGGCAGUGAUGCUUUGAAAAUAUGGAAUGGCCUAUAUUCUGCACUGUUAUUUUUAGGGUAUAAUAUUCUUUAGUGAUAUAAUAAUUUUCAAAGUCCUGAAUUUUUUUUCUACAAAAAGUUAAGUUGUCAGAUUCUUGUCAAACAAUGCCAUAAUUUGAAGUAAAAGAAAGUAAUUCUCAGUUAAUCUUUACAAUUUCUGAAUUUAUGACAUUUUUUGCUUUUUAUUUACAUUGAGUUCCCCACAUAUUUUAUUUAUUUUUAAAAUUUAUUUAUUUAUUUAAAAUUUUUGUGGGUAUAUAGUAGGUGUACAUAUUUAUGGGUUACAUGAGAUAUUUUGAUACAGGCAUGCAAUGCAUAAUAAUCACAUCAGGGUAAAUGGGGUUAUCGAUCACCUCAUGCGUUUAUCCUUUGUGCUACAAAUAAUCCAGUUAUACUCUUUUAUUCAUUUAAUAAUGUACAAUUAAAUUAUUUUUGACUAUAGUCACUCUGUUGUGCUGUCAAAUGCUAGGUCUUAUUCAUUCUUUCUGUUUCUUGUACUGAAUAAACAUCCCCACUUCCCCCUCACUCCCCUAAAUCUUAAUAAAAACUUUCAUUAUGCCUUUACAUUAUAGAAAAGCAUUUCAUAUACUGUUACAAUAUACAAUUUCUGCUAAUUUAUACUAAGCAUAGGGAAUUUCUAUUAAUAGUUAACAAUUUUUUUUGACAGUUGUGGAUAGCUAUGAUACUAUUCAGAAAUGAAGUUAUAUUCAUUUAAAUGUUAUUUUAGACAUAAAUGAAGUAAAUUUCAAAGAAAAAUAAUUUAAUGUUUUGAAAGAUCCAAAAUCAAUGCUAAGAUUUCCAAAUCUGAAGUAAACACCAUCAUUAUAUAAUACCAUAAUUUAUAUAAUGCGAAUGAUGAAAUCAACCUUGUAUUCAUUUCUGUCAACCACCUCAUACUUACAGAUAAGGCUUUUAAUACUCCCAGAAGUCAAAAGCACAAUAUUCAAGUAUUACAGAAUUUGCAAAAUAUUAAGAAUUGUUAAAAUGUCUGAUUGAGAUGAAUUUGUUCACCUCUAAAACAAAAUACAAAUAUCAUUUUAAUUAGGCCACAAACUGGAGUUCUAAUUCUUCUACCUCUAUGCUAAAACUGUCUUUUUGAGAUUUUUGAGUAUGCAUUUUUUUCAGUAGUGGCUUUAAUUCUAACAAAUUUCUGAUCUCAAUUAUGGCAUUAAAACUUGGAGACAGGGUAGUUACAAAGAAUUCUAUUUUUGAUGCAACCAAAGGCUAAUCUAUCACUGUUGGUGCUUUCAGUAGCACUUCUCAACUACUAUCUUGAUUGUUUUACUGUCGAGUUUAAAAACCUUCAGUUUCUCUUCAAUAACAAAAUGAUAAAGUAAAACUCCCUACAUACAAAAAAGACCCUUCACAGUCAGUCCUAAUCUGCUCUCCAGCCUCCUUUCCUAUCAUUUUCUCUAUUUCUAUCUCAUUCUCCCAUGCUGCAACCAUACAUACCUUUCUUUUCAUUGACACCAAGGCAACUCAUUAAUUUUUAACACCCAACUCAGGCAUUAUCUCCUCUGUGAAGCCUUGCCUAACUUCGCCAGGCAUAGUUAAGUUAUUACUUCACUGUUAGUAUUGGAAAUUCAGGCUGCUUUAACAAAUAGGCUCCCAAAUUUUAUCACACAUUAGCACUGUAUAAAUAUUUUUGUCUUUGUCUUUUAAUAGUUGUGAAAGAUUUUUCAGGUUGGUGAGAUGGUGAGAUAGCUGUCUUCUAUCUAGUCAUUCAAGACCUAAGCUGAGAAAGCACUCCAAUCUUUAAAACAGGGCUUUUAAGUUGCCUUGAAUGUUGGCACCCCAGGCAUACAGAAGGGGAAAAGAGAACAGAGGAGCAUGCAUGGGAGGUUUUAAAACCCAGAUCUGGAAAUGAGGUACACCAUUUCUGUUCUCAUUUCACUGGAGACAGCUUAUUCACCUGGCCACAUAUAAUUGCAUUAGAGAUUAGAAUGUAGUAUGGUUGUGUGCCCAAGAAAGGGAGAAAAAUGGUGGAGAACUGUGAUUUCUGCUAUACCCAUCUAGGAGGUUCUCAUAAUACUACUUAAGCACAUUUCCAUUUGUAAUAUGAUUAUCAUUUUAUGUAUCUAUCUCCCUCAUUGAUCUAUUACUAAAUUGUGGGUUUCUUGAGAACUGGGACUUUAGUCAAUAUUCAUAAUUUAUUCCAUCAAUUAAUGUUCAUUAAAUGUCCUCUGUGUGCCAGUGUAUCUGUGUUAUUAUAUAUGAGCUCUAUUGUUGCUACCAUACCUAUUAUAAUGUUCAAUGGAUG